AUUGAACGCUGGCGGCAUGCUGUACACAUGCAAGUCGAACGGUAACAGGUUAAGCUGACGAGUGGCGAACGGGUGAGUAAUGCACCGGAACGUGCCCGAUCGUGGGGGAUAACGCAGCGAAAGCUGCGCUAAUACCGCAUACGAUCUGAGGAUGAAAGCGGGGGACCGUAAGGCCUCGCGCGAUCGGAGCGGCCGAUGUCAGAUUGGGUAGUUGGUGGGGUAAAGGCUCACCAAGCCGACGAUCUGUAGCUGGUCUGAGAGGACGACCAGCCACACUGGGACUGAGACACGGCCCAGACUCCUACGGGGGCAGCAGUGGGGAAUUUUGGACAAUGGGCGCAAGCCUGAUCCAGCCAUGCCGCGUGCAGGGUGAAGGCCUUCGGGUUGUAAACUGCUUUUGUACGGAACGAAAAGGUUUGACUUAAUACGUUGGACUCAUGACGGUACCGUAAGAAUAAGCACCGGCUAACUACGUGCCAGCAGCCGCCGUAA
rnacentral:rRNA from 1 species